rnacentral:rRNA from 1 species
UACGUAGGCAGCGAGCGUUGUUCGGAGUUACUGGGCGUAAAGGGUGUGUAGGCGGUUGUUUAAGUUUGGUGUGAAAUCUCCCGGCUCAACUGGGAGGGUGCGCCGAAUACUGAGCGACUAGAGUGCGGGAGAGGAAAGUGGAAUUCCUGGUGUAGCGGUGAAAUGCGUAGAUAUCUGGAGGAACACCGGUGGCGAAGGCGGCGUUCUGGACUGCAACUGACACUGAUGAACGAAAGCCAGGGGAGCAAACGGG